UAGGGCUACGGCCCUUCCGCACUUUUGUGGGGCGGGGGUGCGCAGGCGCAGUAGAGGAGCGCUGGUUUGGGGGUAGCGGUCGCGUAUUAAGUUGCUCUCUGUCCCGGCAGAAACAGCCAGGUUGCUGAGGGUCCACGCUCCAGCUUGCCCCCGCUACAUCAAUUGGAGGAGAAAAGUUUGUGAAUUGGGCCCCCAACUUUUGGGGGACCCAGGCUUUCUGCGUGGGGUGACAGAGGAGGCUCGUUGGAGCUUCCCCCAUGGAACCUAUCCAGCCUGCAGAGGACCUCAGCCUGACCCAGCAGUCCCCCUCCCCAGAAUUUGGGGACCCUGACGAUCCCGGGGAUGAGGUCCCUGAUGGCUCAGACACAGUGGUGCUCAGUCUCUUCCCCUGCACUCCAGAACCUGAGAAUCCUGAACUGGAUGCUGGUGCCUCCUCACCUCAGGGCAACUCCCUGAAGCACUCCACAACCCUCACCAACCGGCAGCGGGGGAAUGAAGUCUCGGCCCUGCCAGCCACCCUGGACUCCCUGUCCAUCCACCAGCUCGCAGCCCAGGGAGAGCUGAGCCAGCUGAAGGAGCAUCUGAGGAAAGGUGACAACCUCAUCAACAAGCCGGACGAGCGUGGCUUUACCCCACUCAUCUGGGCCUCGGCCUUUGGAGAGAUCGAGACCGUCCGCUUCUUGCUUGAGUGGGGUGCCGACCCCCACAUCCUGGCCAAGGAGCGGGAGAGUGCCCUGUCACUGGCCAGCACAGGCGGCUACACAGACAUCGUGGGGCUGCUGCUCGAGCGUGAUGUGGACAUCAACAUCUAUGACUGGAAUGGAGGGACGCCACUGCUGUACGCUGUGCGUGGGAACCAUGUGAAGUGCGUGGAGGCCUUGCUAGGCCCAGCACCCCCUGUAGCACCUGCUGUGCUUCGCAGCCCGAGGAGCCGAUCUCACCACUGAGGCUGACUCUGGCUACACCCCAAUGGACCUUGCUGUGGCUCUGGGAUACCGGAAAGGUCAGCCUGAGAUACAUGGGGCAGACAGGUGCAACAGGUGAUUGAGAACCACAUCCUCAAACUCUUCCAGAGCAACUUGGUUCCUGCCGAUCCUGAGUGAAGGCCACCUGCCCCCCAGGGACUCAUACACUCAGGGAACAAAACAGUUGACCCAGAGCUGGGAGAACCCAGAACGGGCUUUAAAGGCAGCUCCUAGACAGGCAGUGGGAGGGGGCCCUUCCCGAGAGAAACCAAUAAACCUGUGCAGAACUUGAAA